AGAUUGAACGCUAGCGGGAUGCUUUACACAUGCAAGUCGAACGGCAGCGCGGACUUCGGUCUGGCGGCGAGUGGCGAACGGGUGAGUAAUAUAUCGGAACGUGCCCAGUAGCGGGGGAUAACUACGCGAAAGCGUGGCUAAUACCGCAUACGCCCUACGGGGGAAAGGGGGGAUCGCAAGACCCCUCACUAUUGGAGCGGCCGAUAUCAGAUUAGCUAGUGGUGAGGUAAAGGCUCACAAGGCGACGAUCUGUAGCUGGUUUGAGAGGACGACCAGCCACACCUGGGACUGAGACACGGCCCCAGACUCCGUACGGGAGGCAGCAGUGGGGUAAUUUGGACAAGUGGGGGGAAACCCUGGAUCCAGCCAUCCCGCGUGUGCGAUGAAGGCUUCGGUGUAAGCUA
rnacentral:rRNA from 1 species